AUUGAACGCUGGCGGCAGGCUUAACACAUGCAAGUCGAACGAUGAAACUCUAGCUUGCUAGAGAAGAUUAGUGGCGGACGGGUGAGUAACAUUUAGGAAUCUGCCUAGUAGUGGGGGAUAGCUCGGGGAAACUCGAAUUAAUACCGCAUACGACCUACGGGUGAAAGGGGGCGCAAGCUCUUGCUAUUAGAUGAGCCUAAAUCAGAUUAGCUAGUUGGUGGGGUAAAGGCCCACCAAGGCGACGAUCUGUAACUGGUCUGAGAGGAUGAUCAGUCACACCGGAACUGAGACACGGUCCGGACUCCUACGGGAGGCAGCAGUGGGGAAUAUUGGACAAUGGGGGCAACCCUGAUCCAGCCAUGCCGCGUGUGUGAAGAAGGCCUUUUGGUUGUAAAGCACUUUAAGCAGGGAGGAGGGGCUAAUGGUUAAUACCCAUUAGAUUAGACGUUACCUGCAGAAUAAGCACCGGCUAACUCUGUGCCAGCCGCCGCCGUAA
rnacentral:rRNA from 1 species